CUUAAACUGGGACUGAAAACUGGGCCUCAAGCAUCACUUGCCCUUUAGAACAAGUUAAUAGUCGUGUGGUAGUUUUUGGAUGGAAAAAUGAUAACAGCUUCUGCAGAAUGCGAAUGGAGACAGGAUGGAGAGCAUUAGGACAUUCAGCCAGGUGCCCUCGUGGCCCGGCCAGAAUACUGUGAUAUUAAUAUUUUAUGACUUAUCUGCGGUUAAUUCAAAUCCAGUAAUAAACACUUUGAGCACGUGCGCUUGAUUUGCGACGAAAAACACUCUUGGAGCUGUGUUUGCAGGCGGUAAACAUGUAUAAUUGAAGUCGCAUUUAAAAAGUUUUCUUAGGCAAGAGAGAAGGUAUUUGAAAAGUCUGGAAGAAGUUGGCAAGAAUACGGUUACAUUUGCAGUUGUUGUUGGUGUUGAUGUUGCAUUCACCGUGAAAAUAGGUGUAAAUGUGCGCACAAGUGCAUCCAAUUUUCUCAUAAAAGAGCGAAAAAAGAAAAUCUUAAUCAGAAUAUUAAGGCGAAUGUAAUUACCUGGCCCGGGACACAACCUAACCUUCAUCACUUAUGUGACCGUUCAUUGUAAAGAGAAAAAAAAAAGAUCUAGGAAUUUAAAGAAGUCUUUAAGUCUGUAAGAGAAUACAAGUUAAAACCUCUUGCUUGAAAAAUUUCAAAA